GACGCACGCUGGCGGCGUGCUUAACACAUGCAAGUCGAGCGGCGCGGCGAACGGGAGAGUAACGCGUGAGUAACUGCCCCCCUCUCUGGGAUAACAGUUGGAAACGGCUGCUAAUACCGGAUAGUGGGGGAUGACUCGCGUCCUAUCGGCUUGUUGGCGGGGUAGUGGUCUACCAAGGCGACGAGGGGUAGCCGGCCUGGGAGGGCGCCCGGCCACAUUGGGCUGAGGUACGGCCCAAACUCCUACGGGAGGCAGUAGUGGGUAAUAUUGCCCAAUGGGGGAAACCGUGAUGCAGCAACGCGCGUGCGUGAUGACGGCCUUCGGGUUGUAAACCGCUUUCAGCCAUGACGCGGUAGUGGCAGAAGAAGCACCGGCUAACUACGUGCCAGCAGCCGCGGUAAUUC
rnacentral:rRNA from 1 species